ensembl:snoRNA small nucleolar RNA SNORA53
AACACGCUCCUUAGAUCCACCUCUGGAGGGCGCUGUUCUCUGAGCAGAGUUCCUCAGCAGCUUUGCGGCUGUACAGUUGGAGGUGCUUGAGUCAUUGGCGUGUGAGAACAGUCCACCUGUCCUCCCAGCUCAUCUGCUGCACUGGCCGUCCUGUCCUCUACGGACAGGAAGUUCCCAGUGCAGCUCAACCUGGGAGACGGACAUU